rnacentral:rRNA from 1 species
CCCUUAGAUGUUCUGGGCCGCACGCGCGCUACACUGACGAUGGCAACGAGUUUUUCCUUCGCCGAAAGGUGUGGGUAAUCUUUUGAAACAUCGUCGUGCUGGGGAUAGAUCAUUGCAAUUUUUGAUCUUGAACGAGGAAUUCCUAGUAAGCGGGAGUCAUCAGCUCGCGUUGAUUACGUCCCUGCCCUUUGUACACACCGCCCGUCGCUACUACCGAUUGAAUGGUUUAGUGAGGACUCCUGAUUGGCGCCGCCGCCCCGGCAACGGAGCAGCGGACUGCCGAAAAGUUGUUCAAACUUGAUCAUUUAGAGGAAGUAAAAGUCGUAACA